rnacentral:rRNA from 1 species
GUGUCAGCAGCCGCGGUAAUACAGAGGUCCCAAGCGUUGUUCGGAUUCACUGGGCGUAAAGGGUGCGUAGGCGGUCGGGUAAGUCUGAUGUGAAAUCUCUGGGCCUAACCCAGAAACUGCAUCGGAUACUAUUCGGCUAGAGGAUUGGAGGGGAGACUGGAAUUCUCGGUGUAGCAGUGAAAUGCGUAGAUAUCGAGAGGAACACCAGUGGCGAAGGCGAGUCUCUGGACAAUUCCUGACGCUGAGGCACGAAAGCCAGGGGAGCAAACGGGAUUAGAAACCCUUGUAGUCC